UACGUAGGGGGCAAGCGUUGUCCGGAAUCAUUGGGCGUAAAGCGCGUGUAGGCGGUUCGAUAAGUCUGCUGUGAAAGUCCAGGGCUCAACCCUGGGAUGCCGGUGGAUACUGUCGGGCUAGAGUGCGGAAGAGGCGAGUGGAAUUCCCGGUGUAGCGGUGAAAUUCGCAGAUAUCGGGAGGAACACCAAUUGCGAAGGCAGCUCGCUGGGACGUUACUGACGCUGAGACGCGAAAGCGUGGGGAGCGAACAGG
rnacentral:rRNA from 1 species